CGCGGCCUAUCAGCUUGUUGGUGAGGUAACGGCUCACCAAGGCAUCGACGGGUAGCUGGUCUGAGAGGACGAUCAGCCACACUGGGACUGAGACACGGCCCAGACUCCUACGGGAGGCAGCAGUAGGGAAUCUUGCGCAAUGGGCGAAAGCCUGACGCAGCAACGCCGCGUGGGGGAUGAAUGCCUUCGGGUUGUAAACCCCUUUCAGCAGGGACGAAAAUGACGGUACCUGCAGAAGAAGCUCCGGCCAACUACGUGCCAGCAGCCGCGGUAAUACGUAGGGAGCGAGCGUUGUCCGGAAUUAUUGGGCGUAAAGAGCUCGUAGGCGGUUCAGUAAGUCGGGUGUGAAAACUCAAGGCUCAACCUUGAGACGCCACUCGAUACUGCUGUGACUUGAGUCCGGUAGAGGAGUGUGGAAUUCCUGGUGUAGCGGUGAAAUGCGCAGAUAUCAGGAGGAACACCAGCGGCGAAGGCGGCACUCUGGGCCGGUACUGACGCUGAGGAGCGAAAGCAUGGGGAGCAAACAGGAUUAGAUACCCUGGUAGUCCAUGCCGUAAACGUUGGGCACUAAGUGUGGGUCCCAUCCAACGGGAUCCGCGCCGCAGCUAACGCAUUAAGUGCCCCGCCUGGGGAGUACGG
rnacentral:rRNA from 1 species